AGAUUGAACGCUGGCGGCAUGCCUUACACAUGCAAGUCGAACGGCAGCGCGGGGCAACCUGGCGGCGAGUGGCGAACGGGUGAGUAAUAUAUCGGAACGUACCCUGGAGUGGGGGAUAACGUAGCGAAAGUUACGCUAAUACCGCAUACGAUCUAAGGAUGAAAGUGGGGGAUUCGCAAGAACCUCAUGCUCCUGGAGCGGCCGAUAUCUGAUUAGCUAGUUGGUGGGGUAAAGGCCUACCAAGGCAUCGAUCAGUAGCUGGUCUGAGAGGACGACCAGCCACACUGGAACUGAGACACGGUCCAGACUCCUACGGGAGGCAGCAGUGGGGAAUUUUGGACAAUGGGCGAAAGCCUGAUCCAGCAAUGCCGCGUGAGUGAAGAAGGCCUUGGGUUGUAAAGCUCUUUUGUCGUAGGAAGAAACGGUAGAAAGACUAAUAUCUUUUGCUAAUGACGGUACCUAGAAGAAUAAGCAACCGGACUAACUACGUGCCAGCAGACCG
rnacentral:rRNA from 1 species